rnacentral:rRNA from 1 species
UACGAAGGGGGCUAGCGUUGCUCGGAAUCACUGGGCGUAAAGGGUGCGUAGGCGGGUCUUUUAAGUCAGGGGUGAAAUCCUGGAGCUCAACUCCAGAACUGCCUUUGAUACUGAAGAUCUUGAGUUCGGGAGAGGUGAGUGGAACUGCGAGUGUAGAGGUGAAAUUCGUAGAGAUCGGGUGGAACACCAGUGGCGAAGGCGCCUAUCUGGCUGACAACUGACGCUGAGACUCGAAAGCAUGGGGAGCAAACAGG